rnacentral:rRNA from 1 species
GACGUAGGGCGCGAGCGUUGUCCGGAUUUAUUGGGCGUAAAGAGCUCGUAGGCGGCUUGUUGCGUCGACCGUGAAAACCCGUGGCUCAACUGCGGGCUUGCGGUCGAUACGGGCAGGCUAGAGUUCGGUAGGGGAGACUGGAAUUCCUGGUGUAGCGGUGAAAUGCGCAGAUAUCAGGAGGAACACCGGUGGCGAAGGCGGGACUCUGGGCCGAUACUGACGCUGAGUAGCGAAAGCGUGGGGAGCAAACAGG